AUUGAACGCUGGCGGCAUGCCUUACACAUGCAAGUCGAACGACAGCACGGGCAUCGGCCUGGCGGCGAGUGGCCGACGGGUGAGUAAGGAAUCGGAACAUGCCCAGCCGAGGGGGCUAGGCUGGCGAAAGCCGGCUUAAUACCGCAUACGACAUGAGGGUGAAAGCGGGGGACCGAAAGGCCUAGCGGUUUUGGCGCUGACGUUGUCGGAUUAGCUAGUUGGUGGGGUAAAGGCUUACCAAGGCGACGAUGCGUAGCAGGUCUGAGAGGACGACCUGCCACACUGGAACUGAGACACGGCCCAGACUCCUACGGGAGGCAGCAGUGGGGAAUCUUGGGCAAUGGGGGCAAGCCUGAUCCAGCCAUGCCGCGUGCGUGAAGAAGGCCUUCGGGUUGUAAACCGCUUUUGUUCGGGAAGAAAUCCUGUGGGCGAAUACCCCGGGGGGAUGACGGUACCGGAAGAAUAAGCACCGGCUAACUACGUG
rnacentral:rRNA from 1 species